CCCUUAGAUGUCCGGGGCCGCACGCGCGUUACACUGAUGCAUUCAACGAGCUUAUAACCUUGGCCGAGAGGCCUGGGCAAUCUUGUUAACGUGCAUCGUGAUAGGGAUAGAUUAUUGAAAUUAUUAAUCUUGAACGAGGAAUUCCUAGUAAACGCAGAUCAUCAAUCUGCAUUGAUUACGUCCCUGCCCUUUGUACACACCGCCCGUCGCACCUACCGAUUGGAUGGUCCGGUGAAGCCUCGGGAUUGUGGUUCUUGCCGCUUUAUUGUGGCGUGACCGCGAGAACUUGUCUAAACCUUAUCAUCUAGAGGAAGGUGAAGUCGUAACA
rnacentral:rRNA from 1 species